GAUGAACGCUGGCGGCGUGCUUAACACAUGCAAGUCGAACGGAAAGGCUCCUGCUUGCCGGGGUACUCGAGUGGCGAACGGGUGAGUAACACGUGGGUGAUCUGCCCUGCACUUCGGGAUAAGCCUGGGAAACUGGGUCUAAUACCGGAUAGGACGAUGGUUUGGAUGCCAUUGUGGAAAGUUUUUUCGGUGUGGGAUGAGCUCGCGGCCUAUCAGCUUGUUGGUGGGGUAAUGGCCUACCAAGGCGUCGACGGGUAGCCGGCCUGAGAGGGUGUACGGCGACAUUGGGACUGAGAUACGGCCCAGACUCAUACGGGAGGCAGCAGGGGGGAAUAUUGCACAAUGGGCGCAAGCCUGAUGCAGCGACGCCGCGUGGGGGAUGACGGACUUCGGGUUGUAAACUCCUUUCGCUAGGGACGAAGCGCAAGUGACGGUACCUGGAGAAGAAGCACCGGCUAACUACGUG
rnacentral:rRNA from 1 species